GAUGAACGCUGGCGGCAGGCUUAACACAUGCAAGUCGAACGCCCCGCAAGGGGAGUGGCAGACGGGUGAGUAACGCGUGGGAAUCUACCGUGCCCUACGGAACAACAGUUGGAAACGACUGCUAAUACCGUAUACGCCCUACGGGGGAAAGAUUUAUCGGGGUAUGAUGAGCCCGCGUUGGAUUAGCUAGUUGGUGGGGUAAAGGCCUACCAAGGCGACGAUCCAUAGCUGGUCUGCGAGGAUGAUCAGCCACAUUGGGACUGAGACAAGGCCCAAACUCCUACGGGGGGGAGCAGUGGGGAAUAUUGGACAAUGGGCGCAAGCCUGAUCCAGCCAUGCCGCGUGAGUGAUGAAGGUCUUAGGAUUGUAAAGCUCUUUCACCGACGAAGAUAAUGACGGUAGUCGGAGAAGAAGCCCCGGCUAACUUCGUGCCAGCCGCCGCCGUAA
rnacentral:rRNA from 1 species